rnacentral:rRNA from 1 species
UACGUAGGGGGCGAGCGUUGUCCGGAUUUACUGGGCGUAAAGCGUGCGCAGGCGGUUCGUUAAGUUCGUCGUGAAAGCCCCGGGCUCAACCUGGGAACUGCGAUGGAAACUGGCGGGCUUGAGUGUGGCAGAGGGGGGUGGAAUUCCGCGUGUAGCAGUGAAAUGCGUAGAGAUGCGGAGGAACACCGAUGGCGAAGGCAGCCCCCUGGGCCAACACUGACGCUCAGGCACGAAAGCGUGGGGAGCAAACAGG